rnacentral:rRNA from 1 species
GAUGAACGCUAGCGGGAGGCUUAACACAUGCAAGUCGAGGGGCAGCACGGGGUAGCAAUACUCUGGUGGCGACCGGCAAACGGGUGAGUAACGCGUAUGUAACCUACCCUGUACAGGGGGAUAACCCGGAGAAAUUCGGACUAAUAUCCCAUAACAAUAUUCGGAGGCAUCUUUGGAUAUUUAAAGUUCUGGCGGUACGGGAUGGGCGUGCGUAACAUUAGCUAGUUGGUAAGGUAACGGCCUACCAAGGCUUUGAUGUUUAGGGGUCCUGAGAGGGUGGUCCCCCACACUGGUACUGAGACACGGACCAGACUCCUACGGGAGGCAGCAGUGAGGAAUAUUGGUCAAUGGGCGCAAGCCUGAACCAGCCAUCCCGCGUGCAGGAAGACGGCCCUAUGGGUUGUAAACUGCUUUUCCAGGGAGAGAAACUUGCGCACGUGUUGCGCAAUUGACGGUACCCUGGGAAUAAGCAUCGGCUAACUCCGUG